UAAAAUGAUGAGAGGUAUUGUCGCCCCAGUCUAAUGAGCUUCAAAGCUCGAUGGUGAUGGACACAUUCAAAAUUUGAUUC